CUUGGCACUCGAGAAUUCACGCGUUUUUUUCAUCCUUUAGCGUGUAUUCCAUGGUGUCAAACA
rnacentral:pre_miRNA from 1 species